UACGUAGGGCGCAAGCGUUAUCCGGAAUUAUUGGGCGUAAAGAGCUCGUAGGUGGCGGGUCACGUCGGGUGUGAAAGCCCGGGGCUUAACCCCGGGUCUGCAUUCGAUACGGGCUUGCUAGGGUCCGGCAGGGGAGACUGGAAUUCCUGGUGUAGCGGUGAAAUGACGCAGAUAUCAGGAGGAACACCGGUGGCGAAGGCGGGUCUCUGGGCCGGUACCGACGCUGGAGGAGCGAAAGCGUGGGGAGCGAACAGG
rnacentral:rRNA from 1 species